rnacentral:tRNA from 1 species
AAAUUUAGGUUCACGAAACCGGGAGCCUUCAAAGCCCCAAACAGGGCACCCGCCCUAAUUUCUG